GACAGACAAUGGGCAUAAGAGAAAAUCCUAGCUCUGUAUCGAUUGGUGCAGUCCACCUAACUUGGUCAACAUCACUUCUUCAACUAUAAAGCAGGAAUGAAAAUAGCUCCUUUAAAGCUGUUGUGAGGAUUAGAGGCAAGGCAUGUAAAGGUUUGGAAUGUGGUGGAUGCUCAGUAAACAACGGAUGUCAUUCAGUUGACUCAUGCUUUUCAUUUCCCUGGGUCUUUUUAAAGCUUUAAAAUUCCAUUUUCCAUAAAAGUGGUAUUGAUCGGAGUUAGACCCACUUGCAGUAAGUAAAUAUGGAUGAACUGUGCUGCAGAUAUUCAAAUAAAAAGGCAGAAAGUGUUCAGUAGAGUGCUAACAAAGGAGAGGUUGCUGCCAAG
rnacentral:lncRNA from 1 species